UACGUAGGGGGCUAGCGUUGUCCGGAAUCAUUGGGCGUAAAGCGCGUGUAGGCGGUCCGGUAAGUCCGCUGUGAAAGUCGGGGGCUCAACCCUCGGAUGCCGGUGGAUACUGUCGGGCUCGAGUACGGAAGAGGCGAGUGGAAUUCCUGGUGUAGCGGUGAAAUGCGCAGAUAUCAGGAGGAACACCAAUGGCGAAGGCAGCUCGCUGGGACGUUACUGACGCUGAGACGCGAAAGCGUGGGGAGCAAACAGG
rnacentral:rRNA from 1 species